GAAAACGGGCUCACUGCAGCUAACAGCCUCACCCCUUGGGCUAGGAAGCCACGGAAGCAAAACCUCCGCCCCGGCCUGAAAGCAACCGGGAGACCGCGGAACCACUGCCACCGACUCAGCCCUGCCCAGCAGGGGCCCGCCCAGGGGCCACUCCCCAAGGGAGGCAGCCAGUCACUCGCCCGCCCUUCCGGGCCCACUCCCGAGGGGACGGUCUCCCGCCCGCCCUCACACACAGCUAGCUCUUCAGGCCAGGCCCCCAGGGUUUCGUCCACCUCUCACCUUUGACGACGCGGAUGAAGAAUGAGGAGGUGCUGCGAUCGAACGACUGCGAGGAAACACACCCGCUCUCAUGGCAUUCCCAGUAAACUGAGAAGACGUGAUUAAACCUCAGGAUCUCCUACUAAUAGAGAAAUGUAUAACGAUUUAGCUACCAGAUCUGAAUACUGAAGGGUUGGUAGGGGACCAGAGAAUAGAGGAAGCAUUGUAGGUUCUAGAGUGGAGAAGGGACCAUCCAAAAUGGAGUUUGAAAGAGAAUUCUGGCCUUUGUGUUUAGAGUCUGGAAUUGUCAAGAGUCUGAAAGCACAGAAUAAGACUGCAGCUAGAGCAAUUUAGGCGCCAUAGUUUGUCAAAACAGGUAAGGGGAAUAAAGGGGAUGACACCAAGAGAUGUGCAAAGAAUCUGAAGAAUUCACCUGAAAAGGAUACAACCUCCUCCUGGAAGGCAGAGGAGUAAAUAGGGAAUUGGAAAUUAAUUCCUUAUUUCUGCACAUGCACAGAAUCUGGGCCCAGGUGACUUAUGGAACCUUUAUAGAGACCACGGUGACUGACACUCAUGGGAAAGGGGGUAGAGGGGCAAGAACUGACUGUUCAUCAAAAAUUAUUAGAUGAGUGUGUCCACGACACCAGGAGAUAUGUUGAAUCAUGGACAGGGAGCCACCGCGCCCGGCCCACAGUACAGUUUUACAAAGAAAGGUGUAGCUCCAGGAAAGGAAAGGAAUAACCUUUACCAUUGACUGUGCUGCAGGACUCUAGCCCUGAUCUGCUCUCUUCUGGGAGCAUCUGAUAGAACAAACAGAAACCCCUCUCCCACUGUUCUCCUGUGUCCAGAGUGGGAGGCAUAACUGCUUUGCCUCCAGUCAUCAUCUGGGGGCAUAUCUACUCUUCGAGGACCAGGGGUUCGGGACCCUGGAACAGGAUCUGAAUUCCAAGCUGACCUCAGGGGUACAUGAAGACUGCUAGAUGGGACGGGAUCUCACUGUGUUGCCCAGGCUGGUCUCGAACUGCUGGACUCAAGUCAUCCUCCCAUCUUGGCCUCCCAAAGUGCUGGAAUUACAGGUGUGAGACGCUGUGCCUUGCUUUUUUUUUGUUUCUCCAACUUUUCUUAAAAUGUUACCUUCACUUCAGUUAAGCUGCCUUUGUUUGAUCUCUGAGAUCUAAUGUGGAAUGCCUUUUCUUAUACAUUUAUUCAACUUUGGCGACAACCUUCAAUGCACUGGUACUUUGUACCCUGACCUCUACUGUGAUGAACACUCAACUUGGGCAAGGAAGUGAAAUUCUCCAAAGGUGCAGUGGGUUCUGACCCAAUCAGCAGCCUUUGCUUCUCAGAUUCCUCUCAAGGCUUUAUGACUCUUCUCACCCCAGGAAACCCUACAACACGCACGGCCUUUCAGAACUGCUACAUGGAAUGGACAUUCCUCUGGGCUCCAGCUGAAUGUUUGUAAAUAAAAUAAUGACUGCGUGUCCUAGGAGGAGGGUGCUCUGAAUAGAUGGACCCUGAUUCUACUUACAAAACUGUGGGAAGAAACCGGAGCUUCCUCCCUCUCUGAGACAACGGUGCCACUGAGACUGCGUGAGAUGCGACGUAAAUUCUCUGCACUGUACUGCUCAUCCUCCCCACACUCCCUGCUGAGGCCUCGGCAAGGUGUAGCCUUCAAACACACAGACACAUACAGGCAGACACAUAAUACCAGACUUAUGGUUUUCCCACAGACAGUAUCCUCAGGGUAUGGGAAAGAGUAGGGGAAGACUCAGUAGUAAUAGACACCUGAAUUAGAUGUAUUGGUAAGAUAGUGGCCAUGUAACAAUCUCCUCUAAUUCAAAAGAAGCCCAAUCAUAGACCUU
rnacentral:lncRNA from 1 species